AGAGUUUGAUCAUGGCUCAGAUUGAACGCUGGCGGCAGGCCUAACACAUGCAAGUCGAGCGGCAGCACGGGUACUUGUACCUGGUGGCGAGCGGCGGACGGGUGAGUAAUGCCUAGGAAUCUGCCUGGUAGUGGGGGAUAACGUUCGGAAACGGACGCUAAUACCGCAUACGUCCUACGGGAGAAAGUGGGGGAUCUUCGGACCUCACGCUAUCAGAUGAGCCUAGGUCGGAUUAGCUAGUUGGUGAGGUAAUGGCUCACCAAGGCGACGAUCCGUAACUGGUCUGAGAGGAUGAUCAGUCACACUGGAACUGAGACACGGUCCAGACUCCUACGGGAGGCAGCAGUGGGGAAUAUUGGACAAUGGGCGAAAGCCUGAUCCAGCCAUGCCGCGUGUGUGAAGAAGGUCUUCGGAUUGUAAAGCACUUUAAGUUGGGAGGAAGGGCAGUGGCUUAAUACGUUACUGUUUUGACGUUACCGACAGAAUAAGCACCGGCUAACUCUGUGCCAGCAGCCGCGGUAAUACAGAGGGUGCAAGCGUUAAUCGGAAUUACUGGGCGUAAAGCGCGCGUAGGUGGUUUGUUAAGUUGAAUGUGAAAUCCCCCGGGCUCAACCUGGGAACUGCAUCCAAAACUGGCAAGCUAGAGUAUGGUAGAGGGUGGUGGAAUUUCCUGUGUAGCGGUGAAAUGCGUAGAUAUAGGAAGGAACACCAGUGGCGAAGGCGACCACCUGGACUGAUACUGACACUGAGGUGCGAAAGCGUGGGGAGCAAACAGGAUUAGAUACCCUAGUAGUCC
rnacentral:rRNA from 1 species